UGGGGAAUAUUGGACAAUGGGCGAAAGCCUGAUCCAGCCAUGCCGCGUGUGUGAAGAAGGCCUUAUGGUUGUAAAGCACUUUAAGUGGGGAGGAAAAGCUUAUGGAUAACACCCAUAGGUUCUGACGUUACCCACAGAAUAAGCACCGGCUAACUCUGUGCCAGCAGCCGCGGUAAUACAGAGGGUGCAAGCGUUAAUCGGAAUUACUGGGCGUAAAGCGAGCGUAGGUGGUUUAUUAAGUCAGAUGUGAAAUCCCUGGGCUUAACCUAGGAACUGCAUCUGAUACUGAUAAACUAGAGUAGGUGAGAGGAAAGUAGAAUUCCAGGUGUAGCGGUGAAAUGCGUAGAGAUCUGGAGGAAUACCGAUGGCGAAGGCAGCUUUCUGGCAUCAUACUGACACUGAGGUUCGAAAGCAUGGGUAGCAAACAGGAUUAGAUACCCUGGUAGUCCACGCCGUAAACGAUGUCUACCAGUCGUUGGGUCUUUUAAAGGCUUAGUGACGCAGUUAACGCGAUAAGUAGACCGCCUGGGGAGUACGGCCGCAAGGUUA
rnacentral:rRNA from 1 species